GACAAACGCUGGCGGCGUGCCUAACACAUGCAAGUCGAACGAGAAAGUCGGCUUCGGCCGAUGAGUACAGUGGCGCACGGGUGAGUAACACGUGGGUAACCUACCCUUCGGAGGGGGAUAACACAUCGAAAGGUGUGCUAAUACCGCGUAACACGACGUUGUUGAUGAUGACGUCGUCAAAGGUGGCGCAAGCUGCCGCCGAGGGAUGGGCCCGCGGACCAUUAGCUUGUUGGUAGGGUAACGGCCUACCAAGGCGACGAUGGUUAGCUGGUCUGAGAGGAUGUCCAGCCACACUGGAACUGGAACACGGUCCAGACUCCUACGGGAGGCUG
rnacentral:rRNA from 1 species